ACCUGGCGCGGCGGCGCGGAACCCGCCAGCCCCGCGCGCUGCCUCCGUCCCCGCCCCGAGCAGCCCCGCGCGGCGACCCUCCCCGGGCGGCGGCGCGCCCCAGGCCCCCCGGACACGCAGGGACCGCCGAGCUCACCGCGUCCGCCGCCCGCUCACCCGGAGACCUCCGCCCUGCGCCCGAUCCUUCCUCCGAGACCCUCGUCUGUCUGUCUGUCUGUCUGUCUCCCUCUCUCCCCCCUCCGUGCAAAAUGCCUCCCUCCGAGUGCUGGGAACCUGGCCGCCCGCAGCAGCUCCCCAUCCCGGGGCGCGCGUGUCGGGCUGCGCGCCCAGGGCGCUCCGAGCCCCGGUGCCCAUCCCAAGGCGGCAGCCCGCCCCGAAGUGCCUGCCGCGGGCGACAGCGGCGCCGCCGCCUGCAGCUCCCGAGCCAGAGGGGCCCCGCUCGCCUCCGGGAGGCGCCCGCCGAGCCUCGGCGCCGUCCCGCGAGCCCCAGCCCUUUACCUGAGUGGCGGCCUCGGCCGGGGCUCCGGGGCGCGGCUCCGGGCGCAGAGCCCCGGGCGAGCCGGGCCGGGGGUGCGGGGAGGACCGCGGCCGCCGCUCUCCCCUGCCGCUCCGGGCCUGCCGGGCGCUAUUUAUCCGGGGGCCCGGCCCGGCCCGGCCCCGGCCCCGGCCCCUGCCAGGGUAUUGGGCAAUCGGUCCGCUACGCGCGGCCCCGGGAGCCGCCGCCCUCCGCCCCCGCCGAGCCCCGCCGAGCCCCGCGUGCAGGCAGAGCCGGGCCGGCCCGCGCCGGGGCGCCAGCUUCCCUUCCCUUCCCGCACCUCCUUCCCGCGAACUUCUUCCCCGCCGCUCCCCCCGUCUCCCUCCUUUGCGGGGCACCCCGGCCAGUCUGAACCGGUUGUGACUGCGCGGGUGGCGGGGGAAGGAGGAGGAGGCGGCGGAGAUGGAGGCGGAGAAGCCGGCGGUAGGGGCGCUGCUCCUGCUCUCGCGGCUCCGGCGCGGGUCCGGCCGGCGGGGGCGGGGGGGGCACCCCGAGGCCGCGGUGCUCGGGGCCCCCGAAAGGCCUCGGGAGAGCCGGCGGCGCGGGCCGGGCGCCCAACACGCGCGCGCCCCCGCCCCCGCCCCCCGCGCGCCCCCCGCGCGCCCCCCGAGACCCGCGGCGUCGGGGGAGCCGGGUCUAGAGGUGAGGGCCAGGCGCCCCCGCUCCCCCGGGCCCCCGGGGCCGCCGGGCGCCCUUCUGGCCGGAGCUGCAUCCCCAGCUGGCGGGGAUCCCAGGGAACCGGGCACCAGAACUCGGCGGAGUCGGUGCUCCUGGGCAGCGAGGAGCGCGGACGCCAAGUGCUGUCCUUUGUGACAGCUCCACGGGAGGGAGGGCGACCCCGCGGCGUCCCCGCCGGCCGAGACACGGUGCGUCUGAGCGCGCCUUCACGAGUCUCGCAGGGGGCGCUUUGGCUGGAGGAUCAGGGGCUUGGGAGCCGAGCGGCUGAGGGCCCCUGCAGCAGACCGCGGGCAGCCCAAGGGCCCUGGGGCCUAUGCGUGAGGGGACCCCCUAAAGUGGUACGCGCUCUCGGUGGAUGCAUAUUUCUGGGAAGGGGCCCCGUUCCUCCUACCAGCCUCUCGAAGAGGCCUAAGGCCAUGCCCAUCACGGGGACAUCCCUUUAUACACUGAAGCCUCCGGUUCUGACCAAGACAGAGACCCCGCACUCUAAAAAGGGUUGUUUUGGGGAUCCCUGGGCCGCUCAGCGGUUUAGCGCCGCCUGCAGCCCAGGGCCUGAUCCUGGAGACCCGGGAUCGAGUCCCACGUCGGGCUCCCUGCAUGGAGCCUGCUUCUCCCUCUGCCUGUGUCUCUGCCUCUCUAUGUCUCUCAUAAAUAAAUAA
rnacentral:lncRNA from 1 species